UACGUGAAACCGUUGAAAGGGAAGCGAAUGGAGUUAGCAAUUCGCCCUGCCAGAUUCAGUUGCUCGUGCAUCGCGACGGUCGCGCUCUCGAUCCGCAUGGACGAGGCGCGCUCGGACGCGCUGUUCGGACGGCGCACUUCUGGCGAGCGAGCGUCAGCGUCGGUUGUCGACGGGCGACAAGGUCGCAAGGAAGGUGAACCGGCUUCGCGGCCGGUUGUUAAGACUUGCGCUCGUAUAGCUCGGCGGCGACCGUGGCCUGCUGCGACGCGUGCUUGGCKGGMGASCCGACMGAUCGGUCCGGCMUGUCGACCGUGGCGGACGGSACGCCUGUGCGCUCGAWCCGCUGCCUGGSGAUYGUGUCGGUGUUGGGWCGAURCGCGUCUARGGUGCUG
rnacentral:rRNA from 1 species